rnacentral:misc_RNA from 1 species
GGUAGUAAAAGUCGUAACAAGGUUUCCGUAGGUGAACCUGCGGAAGGAUCAUUAUUGUAUAACCGAGGUGCGAGGGCUGUCGCUGACCCGAAAGGUCGUGCACGCCCGAGUGCCCUCACACACAUCCAUCUCACCCCUAUGUGCGCCACCGCGUGGGUCCCCCUUUGGCUUGUUCGGAGGGGGGCUUACGUUUUCACACAAACUUUGUAUGCAGUGUAGAAUGUAUUUUUUGUUUUUGCGAUCACGCAAUCAAUACAACUUUCAACAACGGAUCUCUUGGCUCUC